rnacentral:misc_RNA from 1 species
GGCUAAUUUGUUUAAGCCUACAUUUCCUGCUAGCAAAGAAAGAAUGCUGGGAAAACAAGCAAUUUUCUUUCAUCAAGGUGAUUAUCAUGCCAAAUUGAGAAAAUUAGUCCUCCAGGCUUUCAAGCCCGAUUCUAUCAGAAACAUCAUCCCCGACAUUGAAUCCAUCGCGAUAACAUCACUCGAAUCAUUUCAAGGAAGAUUGAUCAACACUUAUCAAGAAAUGAAGACAUAUACAUUCAAUGUGGCAUUGAUUUCGAUAUUUGGUAAAGAUGAAUUUCUAUACAGAGAGGAGCUCAAGAAAUGUUACUACAUUCUCGAAAAAGGAUACAAUUCGAUGCCAAUUAAUCUCCCCGGUACACUCUUCAACAAAGCAAUGAAAGCGAGGAAAGAGCUAGCUAAAAUCGU